UUAUGUUUUCACCCUUCUAGGUUUUCAGCGAAGGCUUGAUGGGGGAACAAGGGAAAAAAGGCUGGACUUCGCCGCGGCUCAUAGUCUCCAGGCAGGAUUCUUGAAGCACACAGGUUGUAACACCCCUACAGCUACCUCGAGGACUUCCUUUAAUGUUUCACCACCAGAGCUUCGCUCUGCUUCCACAAGAGGCUAUGCCAUGCUUCAAAACACUGCAACAGAAACAAGAGGG